rnacentral:lncRNA from 1 species
UCGAGGUUCUAAAUUUCAGAAAACCGCAGUUGCUGGGCUAGGAUUUCACGGAAACACAGGUUUUUGGUUUGCAACAGAAAACCACAGGUUUUGGGCCUAAUUUUUUCAGCAAAACCCAAAUGACCCGGAUAAGGCACUUUGACAGCGAAACCGACAGGUAGGACCCACAGGUAAGUCGCCACGUCAGACGAACUUUUUUUCCCAGUCCCUCAUCUUAGUCUAUAUUUGCAGUUUGCACCCAACUCCAAAUCAAAUCUAAAAAAAAAACAGAAAAUUAGCACAUCUUUUGGCCGGCCGUGCCUUGCAGCAAGCCGCCGGAUAUGGGCUCCGACGAGCGUUGUGACCUCGCCGUCGAUGGAUGCCUCCCGUGACAGACCA